rnacentral:rRNA from 1 species
UCCGUGCCAGCAGCCGCGGUAAUACGGAAGGUCCGGGCGUUAUCCGGAUUUAUUGGGUUUAAAGGGGGCGUAGGCCGGAGAUUAAGCGUGUUGUGAAAUGUAGACGCUCAACGUCUGCACUGCAGCGCGAACUGGUUUCCUUGAGUACGCACAAAGUGGGCGGAAUUCGUGGUGUAGCGGUGAAAUGCUUAGAUAUCACGAAGAACUCCGAUUGCGAAGGCAGCUCACUGGAGCGCAACUGACGCUGAAGCUCGAAAGUGCGGGUAUCGAACAGGAUUAGAUACCCUGGUAGUCCGCACGGUAAACGAUGGAUGCCCGCUGUUGGUCUGAAUAGGUCAGCGGCCAAGAGAAAGCAUUAAGCAUCCCACCUGGGGAGUACGCCGGCA